AAAUAGAUAUUCGCAAUAUAAGAACUGUAUUGUGUCUCAUUAGGCUUAUUAAUCAUUGUUAGGACGAGGGUUCGACUCCCUCCAGCUCCACGCUCACAAGAGCUACAAGGGAAAACAAAACUAGGAUUUUUGAUCGUGUUGACCGUGCGCCAAGUUUUUAAAUUUUAGAACGGUCAAAAGGGGCUGCAUGGUUUUGACUAGCAAUUAGAGAGAUAAGAUAGGUUCAACAUUGUUUUAAUUAAAUGGCAACACUAUGUUUGUCACUGAUUAUUCUUGCGUAGCGUAAGAAUAUGAUGCGUGCUAAAUACGAAAGUUAGGGAUACUCUUUAGUUCAACAGGUUAGAAUCGUAAUUUUAUUACGGGAUGUGAGUUCGAGU
rnacentral:tmRNA from 1 species